GUCCCCUUCGUCUAGAGGCCUAGGACACCGCCCUUUCACGGCGGUAACAAGGGUUCCGAACCCCUAGGGGACGCCA
rnacentral:tRNA from 1 species